rnacentral:rRNA from 1 species
AAUGAACGCUGGCGGCAGGCCUAACACAUGCAAGUCGAACGGAUCCUUCGGGAUUAGUGGCGGACGGGUGAGUAACGCGUGGGAACGUGCCCCUUUCUUCGGAAUAGCCUCGGGAAACUGGGAGUAAUACCGGAUAAGCUCGCAAGAGGAAAGAUUUAUCGGGAAGGGAUCGGCCCGCGUUGGAUUAGGUAGUUGGUGGGGUAAUGGCCUACCAAGCCGACGAUCCAUAGCUGGUUUGAGAGGAUGAUCAGCCACACUGGGACUGAGACACGGCCCAGACUCCUACGGGAGGCAGCAGUGGGGAAUCUUAGACAAUGGGGGAAACCCUGAUCUAGCCAUGCCGCGUGAUCGAUGAAGGCCUUAGGGUUGUAAAGAUCUUUCAGUU